UUUUAUUUGAGAGUUUGAUCCUGGCUCAGGAUGAACGCUGGCGGCGUGCCUAACACAUGCAAGUUGAGCGAUUUACUUCGGUAAAGAGCGGCGGACGGGUGAGUAACGCGUGGGUAACCUACCCUGUACACACGGAUAACAUACCGAAAGGUAUGCUAAUACGGGAUAAUAUAUUUGAGAGGCAUCUCUUGAAUAUCAAAGGUGAGCCAGUACAGGAUGGACCCGCGUCGGAUUAGCUAGUUGGUAAGGUAACGGCUUACCAAGGCGACGAUCAGUAGCCGACCUGAGAGGGUGAUCGGCCACAUUGGAACUGAGACACGGUCCAAACUCCUACGGGAGGCAGCAGUGGGGAAUAUUGCACAAUGGGCGAAAGCCUGAUGCAGCAACGCCGCGUGAGUGAUGAAGGCCUUCGGG
rnacentral:rRNA from 1 species